rnacentral:rRNA from 1 species
CCUACGGGGGGCAGCAGUGAGGAAUAUUGGUCAAUGGACGAGAGUCUGAACCAGCCAAGUAGCGUGAAGGAUGACUGCCCUAUGGGUUGUAAACUUCUUUUAUAAAGGAAUAAAACGAGGCACGUGUGCCUUUUUGCAUGUACUUUAUGAAUAAGGAUCGGCUAACUCCGUGCCAGCAGCCGCGGUAAUACGGAGGAUCCGAGCGUUAUCCGGAUUUAUUGGGGUUAAAGGGAGCGUAGAUGGGUUGUUAAGUCAGUUGUGAAAGUUUGCGGCUCAACCGUAAAAUUGCAAUUGAUACUGGCAGUCGUGAGUACAGUUGAGGUAGGCGGAAUUCGUGGUGUAGCGGUGAAAUGCUUAGAUAUCACGAAGAACCCCGAUUGCGAAGGCAGCUUACUAAACUGUGACUGACAUUGAUGCUCGAAAGUGUGGGUAUCAAACAGGAUUAGAUACCCCAGUAGUC